rnacentral:rRNA from 1 species
GACGAACCGAGCAAACGUUAUUCGGAAUCACUGGGCUUAAAGGGCGCGUAGGCGGGCAUUCAAGUCCGUGGUGAAAUCCGGCAGCUUAACUGUCGAACUGCCGCGGAUACUGGGUGUCUCGAGGGAGGUAGGGGCGCGCGGAACUAUUGGUGGAGCGGUGAAAUGCGUUGAUAUCAAUAGGAACUCCGGUGGCGAAGGCGGCGCGCUGGACCUCUUCUGACGCUGAGGCGCGAAAGCCAGGGGAGCAAACGGGAUUAGAUACCCCGGUAGUCCUGGCCCUAAACGUUGGGUACUAGAUAGUAGCCUUCACAUGGGGUUACUGUCGAAGCAAAAGUGCUAAGUACCCCGCCUGGGGAGUAUGGUCGCAAGGCUGAA